rnacentral:rRNA from 1 species
UACGAAGGGGGCUAGCGUUGUUCGGAAUUACUGGGCGUAAAGCGCGUGUAGGCGGGUCUUUAAGUCAGGGGUGAAAUGCCAAGGCUCAACCUUGGAACUGCCUUUGAUACUGGAGACCUUGAGUCCGGGAGAGGUGAGUGGAAUUGCGAGUGUAGAGGUGAAAUUCGUAGAUAAUUCGCAAGAACACCAGUGGCGAAGGCGGCUCACUGGCCCGGAACUGACGCUGAGACGCGAAAGCGUGGGGAGCAAACAGG